GUGCACACAGCCUGUGGGCCACCGUGCAGGGCUGGGCCUCUGCACUUUCUCCUGACACUGUCCCCAGGAGGACAUGCGUGGAGUCCCCAAAGGAGCAGAGACCAGCAGAAGCUGACCCUCGUGCCGGGCAGCAGGGAGCCCACAGGCCACCACAGGGGCAGGCACAGCCCAGGGCAGAGCCCAGCUCUGGGCUGGCUCCGAGGACGAGGGCAGAGGCCAUCGGGGUGUGGGCCACUCGUUCCUCCUUCUUAGUGGGCAUUCAUUCUCCAGCCACUUCACCAGGGGCUGGUGAGCACCUGCGGUCCCAGGGCCUGUGGCAGCGUCCAGAAAACUUCCCAGAGGCCAUAACACGGCAGGUGCGGAAGAUACUGGAAAUGCAGAGAUGAGCCGGCCAGACCUCAGCCACGGGGCUGCAGAGAACUCCAAGGGUGGCUAGGAAAUGCCACAGAGCUACGUGCCCAGGAAGACAAGGCAACUCACCAUCUCUGCCACA